GGAUGUUCAGCGGCGCAAGGGUGCGUAACACGUGGGUAAUCUGCCGUGAAGCCUGGAAUAACUCGCUGAAAGGCGAGCUAAUACCGGAUGUGACGUUUGGAAGGCAUCUUUUGAACUUCAAAGCUGGGGACCGUAAGGCCUGGCACUUCACGAUGAGCCCGCGGCCUAUCAGCUAGUUGGUGAGGUAAUGGCUCACCAAGGCUAAGACGGGUAGCUGGUCUGAGAGGACGACCAGCCACACUGGAACUGAGACACGGUCCAGACACCUACGGGUGGCAGCAGUCGAGAAUUUUUCACAAUGGGCGAAAGCCUGAUGGAGCGACGCCGCGUGGGGGAUGAAUGGCUUCGGCCCGUAAACCCCUGUCAUUUGCGAACAAGUUGCUUCACCUAACACGUGAAGCAUUGAUAGUAGCGAAAGAGGAAGGGACGGCUAACUCUGUGCCAGCAGCCGCGGUAAUACAGAGGUCCCAAGCGUUGUUCGGAUUCACUGGGCGUAAAGGGUGCGUAGGCGGUCGGGUAAGUCUGACGUGAAAUCUCCAAGCUCAACUUGGAAAUGGCGUCGGAUACUAUUCGUCUCGAGGAAUGGAGGGGAGACUGGAAUUCUCGGUGUAGCAGUGAAAUGCGUAGAUAUCGAGAGGAACACCAGUGGCGAAGGCGAGUCUCUGGACAUUUCCUGACGCUGAGGCACGAAAGCCAGGGGAGCAAACGGGAUUAGAUACCCCGGUAGUCCUGGCCCUAAACGGUGCACGUUUGCUGUAAGAGGAAUCGACCCCUUUUGUGGCGAAGCUAACGCGUUAAACGUGCCGCCUGGGAAGUACGGCCGCAAGGUUAAAACUCAAAGAAAUUGA
rnacentral:rRNA from 1 species